AAUUUCCCCUGGAACAGUGUUGGGAACCACACACACAUACGUUAUUAAAACUGGCACUCAAGACAAGCCGGGAGCGAAAAGGGUAAGCAAUCUAUGUCGGACUUACCAAACAUUUGUUUACUAAAGGAAUUGGUAGGCACUUUAAGUAUGUCGUUGUCAAAUACUUAAUUGAUAGUUCAUGGUUGGUUGGAAAUGAGGCUAAAACUUUAAAAGUAAUUUGAUCUUUUGAAGUUGUUCGGUCAAGUAGACCGUGUUAGUUUUGUAUUGUCCAAGUCUUGUGUGUUUUUGAGAAUCACUUAUUAGGUCUAGACGUUUAGUUAUGGUUGAUUUGCUGAGAGGGGCAAAAGACAGAUGGAUAUCAGUUUACUAGAGGCCAUGGAGAAUGUUUUACUUGCCAAUAUGAGGAGGCAAGAGAAGAGGAGAGAAACUACACAAUAAAGUAAGGACUUCACUGACAUGGUCGCCG